AUACGGAGGGUGCAAGCGUUAAUCGGAAUUACUGGGCGUAAAGCGUACGUAGGCGGUUCGUUAAGUUAGAUGUGAAAGCCCCGGGCUUAACCUGGGAACUGCAUUUAAAACUGGCGAACUAGAGUUGAGUAGAGGGGAGUGGAAUUUCAGGUGUAGCGGUGAAAUGCGUAGAGAUCUGAAGGAACACCAGUGGCGAAGGCGACUCCCUGGACUCGAACUGACGCUGAGGUACGAAAGCGUGGGUAGCAAACGGGAUUAGAAACCCCGGUAGUCC
rnacentral:rRNA from 1 species